CACACUAUCAUUAACUGAAUCCAUAGGUUAAUGAGGCGAACCGGGGGAACUGAAACAUCUAAGUACCCCGAGGAAAAGAAAUCAACCGAGAUUCCCCCAGUAGCGGCGAGCGAACGGGGAGCAGCCCAGAGCCUGAAUCAGUGUGUGUGUUAGUGGAAGCGUCUGGAAAGGCGCGCGAUACAGGGUGACAGCCCCGUACACAAAAAUGCACAUGCUGUGAGCUCGAUGAGUAGGGCGGGACACGUGGUAUCCUGUCUGAAUAUGGGGGGACCAUCCUCCAAGGCUAAAUACUCCUGACUGACCGAUAGUGAACCAGUACCGUGAGGGAAAGGCGAAAAGAACCCCGGCGAGGGGAGUGAAAAAGAACCUGAAACCGUGUACGUACAAGCAGUGGGAGCACAGAGCAAUCUGUGUGACUGCGUACCUUUUGUAUAAUGGGUCAGCGACUUAUAUUCUGUAGCAAGGUUAACCGAAUAGGGGAGCCGAAGGGAAACCGAGUCUUAACUGGGCGUUAAGUUGCAGGGUAUAGACCCGAAACCCGGUGAUCUAGCCAUGGGCAGGUUGAAGGUUGGGUAACACUAACUGGAGGACCGAACCGACUAAUGUUGAAAAAUUAGCGGAUGACUUGUGGCUGGGGGUGAAAGGCCAAUCAAACCGGGAGAUAGCUGGUUCUCCCCGAAAGCUAUUUAGGUAGCGCCUCGUGAAUUCAUCUCCGGGGGUAGAGCACUGUUUCGGCAAGGGGGUCAUCCCGACUUACCAACCCGAUGCAAACUGCGAAUACCGGAGAAUGUUAUCACGGGAGACACACGGCGGGUGCUAACGUCCGUCGUGAAGAGGGAAACAACCCAGACCGCCAGCUAAGGUCCCAAAGUCAUGGUUAAGUGGGAAACGAUGUGGGAAGGCCCAGACAGCCAGGAUGUUGGCUUAGAAGCAGCCAUCAUUUAAAGAAAGCGUAAUAGCUCACUGGUCGAGUCGGCCUGCGCGGAAGAUGUAACGGGGCUAAACCAUGCACCGAAGCUGCGGCAGCGACACUAUGUGUUGUUGGGUAGGGGAGCGUUCUGUAAGCCUGUGAAGGUGUACUGUGAGGUAUGCUGGAGGUAUCAGAAGUGCGAAUGCUGACAUAAGUAACGAUAAAGCGGGUGAAAAGCCCGCUCGCCGGAAGACCAAGGGUUCCUGUCCAACGUUAAUCGGGGCAGGGUGAGUCGACCCCUAAGGCGAGGCCGAAAGGCGUAGUCGAUGGGAAACAGGUUAAUAUUCCUGUACUUGGUGUUACUGCGAAGGGGGGACGGAGAAGGCUAUGUUGGCCGGGCGACGGUUGUCCCGGUUUAAGCGUGUAGGCUGGUUUUCCAGGCAAAUCCGGAAAAUCAAGGCUGAGGCGUGAUGACGAGGCACUACGGUGCUGAAGCAACAAAUGCCCUGCUUCCAGGAAAAGCCUCUAAGCAUCAGGUAACAUCAAAUCGUACCCCAAACCGACACAGGUGGUCAGGUAGAGAAUACCAAGGCGCUUGAGAGAACUCGGGUGAAGGAACUAGGCAAAAUGGUGCCGUAACUUCGGGAGAAGGCACGCUGAUAUGUAGGUGAAGCGACUUGCUCGUGGAGCUGAAAUCAGUCGAAGAUACCAGCUGGCUGCAACUGUUUAUUAAAAACACAGCACUGUGCAAACACGAAAGUGGACGUAUACGGUGUGACGCCUGCCCGGUGCCGGAAGGUUAAUUGAUGGGGUUAGCGGUAACGCGAAGCUCUUGAUCGAAGCCCCGGUAAACGGCGGCCGUAACUAUAACGGUCCUAAGGUAGCGAAAUUCCUUGUCGGGUAAGUUCCGACCUGCACGAAUGGCGUAAUGAUGGCCAGGCUGUCUCCACCCGAGACUCAGUGAAAUUGAACUCGCUGUGAAGAUGCAGUGUACCCGCGGCAAGACGGAAAGACCCCGUGAACCUUUACUAUAGCUUGACACUGAACAUUGAGCCUUGAUGUGUAGGAUAGGUGGGAGGCUUAGAAGUGUGGACGCCAGUCUGCAUGGAGCCGACCUUGAAAUACCACCCUUUAAUGUUUGAUGUUCUAACGUUGGCCCCUGAUCGGGGUUGCGGACAGUGUCUGGUGGGUAGUUUGACUGGGGCGGUCUCCUCCUAAAGAGUAACGGAGGAGCACGAAGGUUGGCUAAUCCUGGUCGGACAUCAGGAGGUUAGUGCAAUGGCAUAAGCCAGCUUGACUGCGAGCGUGACGGCGCGAGCAGGUGCGAAAGCAGGUCAUAGUGAUCCGGUGGUUCUGAAUGGAAGGGCCAUCGCUCAACGGAUAAAAGGUACUCCGGGGAUAACAGGCUGAUACCGCCCAAGAGUUCAUAUCGACGGCGGUGUUUGGCACCUCGAUGUCGGCUCAUCACAUCCUGGGGCUGAAGUAGGUCCCAAGGGUAUGGCUGUUCGCCAUUUAAAGUGGUACGCGAGCUGGGUUUAGAACGUCGUGAGACAGUUCGGUCCCUAUCUGCCGUGGGCGCUGGAGAACUGAGGGGGGCUGCUCCUAGUACGAGAGGACCGGAGUGGACGCAUCACUGGUGUUCGGGUUGUCAUGCCAAUGGCACUGCCCGGUAGCUAAAUGCGGAAGAGAUAAGUGCUGAAAGCAUCUAAGCACGAAACUUGCCCCGAGAUGAGUUCUCCCUGACUCCUUGAGAGUCCUGAAGGAACGUUGAAGACGACGACGUUGAUAGGCCGGGUGUGUAAGCGCAGCGAUGCGUUGAGCUAACCGGUACUAAUGAACCGUGAGGCUUAACCUU
rnacentral:rRNA from 1 species